rnacentral:lncRNA from 10 species
UGUUGCGCUUCCGGCGCCUGCUGGUGGCUGAGCUGCAGCGUGGCUUCUUUGACAAGCACAUCUGGCUCUCCAUAUGGGACCGGCCACCUCGUAGCUGUUUCACUCGCAUCCAGAGGGCCACCUGCUGCGUUCUCCUCAUCUGCCUCUUCCUGGGCGCCAACGCCGUGUGGUACGGGGCUGUUGGUGACUCUGCCUACAGCACGGGGCAUGUGUCCAGGCUGAGCCCGCUGAGCGUCGACACAGUCGCUGUUGGCCUGGUGUCCAGCGUGGUUGUCUAUCCCGUCUACCUGGCCAUCCUCUUUCUCUUCCGGAUGUCCCGGAGCAAGGUGGCUGGGAGCCUGAGCCCCACACCUGCCGGGCAGUAGGUGCUGGACAUCGACAGCUGCCUGGACUCGUCCGUGCUGGACAGCUCCUUCCUCACGUUCUCAGGCCUCCACGCUGAGGUUGAUGGACGGAUGGCUACAUGGAUGUGAUGGAGAUGGUUUACUAUCGGGACCUUCCGCAUCCUGCUGAUGUUUUGUUGCUUAGGAUAUGAAUGGCUGAGCG